rnacentral:lncRNA from 1 species
UAGAGGGAGUGACAAGGGAAUCUUGAAGGAUGUAGAGCUUCUUCGGCAAAUAACUGAGGCAUCACGUGGUGCCAUAACUGCCUUUGUAGAACGAACAACUAACAAGAAGGGCCAAGUUGUAGAUGUUGCUGAUAAGCUCACGACAAUCCUUGGAUUUGGUGUCAAUGAACCUUGGAUUCAGUACUUGUCAAACACAAAAUUUUACCGGGCAGAUAGAGAUAAGCUGAGAACAUUGUUCCAAUUUCUUGG